CGGUUAUUUCGGUUCGGUUCGGUUCAGUUUUGAGGAGAAAAAAUUCAGUUGAACCGAACCGAAUAAAAGUUAAUUAAAAGACAAUAUUUGCACAUUCCUUUCUCAAAGCUUAAAGGCAAAGCCCAUUCUUAAGUACCAAGAGGCACCAGUCUCGAAAUCCAACAGUCACAUGUGCCUUAUCUUUUUAUUUAGUUUUAAUUGACUUUUAAUCUCAAACAUUCAUAUUUUUAAAGAAAUCUCAACCUUUCAAUUCUUAUACAUAUAUAUACUCUUUAAAACCCUAACUUUAUCUCCACCUUAUUUCUUCCUCCCUAUCAAGUCUGCCGCCAGUCACCUCUCCCACCAUUCUGUUCUUAUUUCUUCUCUAACCAGUGCCACUCAUCUCCCUUAAUUUCUCUUAUCCUCUUGUUUUUCUCUACGCCAUUAAUUUUUCUUCCCCUUCAUUUCUUCUCUGCCCGACGUCCACCUCUCCUUCUCUUCUCUUCUUGUUCUGGUCUCAACUUUGCAUAUGCUUUUUUAGAGCCCAACACUGUUGCCUGAAGAUCCACAACAUCAGCGCAAUAGAUCAAAACAGUAGUGUUCUUCGCAGUUCUAGCUGUGUUCUUCCAUUUUCUUUUUAUUUUAUUUUGUUCAAUUUGUAAUGUUUCUUUUAUUAUUGAUUUGGAUGAUUGUGAUAUUGAGUUUAUAUUAAUGGAAAUUUGUGUUUUGGAUAGUUAUUUGGAAUUGAUUUGGGUGGUCACUCUACGUAAUAAAGGAAGAAAUACAGAUGUAAAAGAAUUGAAUAUUUAAAUUGAACUGAACCGAUUUUUUAUCGGUUUGAUUCAGUUUGGCUGUAUGUAUAAAUAGGUUCAGUUCGGUUUUUACUUUUAUAUAAAAUUUGGUUUUCGGUUUUUUCAGUUCGGUUAGGUUUUGAACCGAACCGACCGAAUGCUCACUCCUAAAUGUAAUCCAUUCAAAAUAAACUUACAACUGCCUCUACAUUUGUAACAUCAGCCACCAACACAUGUAAAAAAUGUUCAUAUGACAGCAGUUCUGAUAUCUUGGUGUUUUUGAAUGCCUAUUCCACCAAUAAUUUACCGACCUCCUCAUUGAUGUGCUAUUCAAUUGCCAAGAAAACAAUAAAAAAUAAAAAUAAAAACUUCCAAGUAAAGGACCACAUUUCCUCUCGACAUGCUAUAAAUUCCCAUGAUUCAAAACUCUAAUCCAAGUCAACAUGAAUAGAAAGAGGGCUUUUCCUCUCCCUCAAAAUGUAAAAAUAGUAAAAGUUAUCUACUUGAGGACACUCUGUUUUCCCAUAUAAAAACUCCUAAAUAAACCAGAUAUCCAUGAGAAACCAACAAUUAUGUAAAUUGCAAUACUACAUCCCACAACAACCUACUUGUGUAACAGUCCUGAGGAGAUACCAACAAUUAUGUAAAUUGCAAUACUACAUCCCACAACAACCUACUUGUGUAACAGUCCUGAGGAGAU
rnacentral:misc_RNA from 1 species